rnacentral:tRNA from 1 species
GGAGUGUAGCUCACUGGUACAGUGUUUGCCUAGCAAGCACAAGGCCUGGAUUCCAUCUCCAGCAUCACCA